CUGCUUCGGCAGCACAUAUACUAAAACUGGAACGAUACAGAGAAGAUUAGCAUGGCCCCCGUGCAAGGAUGGCACGCAAAUUCAUGAAGCAUUUCAUAUUUUU
rnacentral:snRNA from 1 species